AACGAACGCUGGCGGCAUGCCUAACACAUGCAAGUCGAACGAGACCUUCGGGUCUAGUGGCGCACGGGUGCGUAACGCGUGGGAACCUGCCCUUAGGUUCGGAAUAACUCCCCGAAAGGGGUGCUAAUACCGGAUAAUGUCUUCGGACCAAAGAUUUAUCGCCUUUGGAUGGGCCCGCGUUGGAUUAGCUAGUUGGUAGGGUAAAAGCCUACCAAGGCGACGAUCCAUAGCUGGUCUGAGAGGAUGAUCAGCCACACUGGGACUGAGACACGGCCCAGACUCCUACGGGAGGCAGCAGGGGGGAAUAUGGGACAAUGGGCGAAAGCCUGAUCCAGCAAUGCCGCGUGAGUGAUGAAGGCCUUAGGGUUGUAAAGCUCUUUUACCCGGGAUGAUAAUGACAGUACCGGGAGAAUAAGCUCCGGCUAACUCCGU
rnacentral:rRNA from 1 species